ensembl:lncRNA uncharacterized LOC114909683
GUGAGAUUAAAAACCUUCUCAUGCACUCAAAACACAAUAGAUCGUUACUACAGCUCCGGUGAAAGGUACUAAACUAGCUCAGGAGACACUGUGGAUAGCAGUCAGUACAUCAGAACUUGAAAACUCCUGGAGAUCCACAAACUAAUCACAGUGUUUUACCAAAACAGAAGGAUCAUCAUUUGACCACAAAAAAAAAAAAGGAAAAAUCUAAAAGAGGUGGGGAGAACGACUUGCAAACAUGGAUAAGAUUUCAAUAGUUGCCCUGUUUUUUUUUACAGCUACAAUUCCUCCUCUAGCAUCAACAAUUAAUGCUCAAGUUGAAAACAAGGCAUUUCUUUCAACCACAUCAAUUACAACUGAA